CCAGACUCCUACGGGAGGCAGCAGUGAGGAAUAUUGGUCAAUGGGCGCGAGCCUGAACCAGCCAAGUCGCGUGAGGGAAGACGGUCCUAUGGAUUGUAAACCUCUUUUGUCGGGGAGCAAAAGACGCCACGUGUGGCGUUCCGAGAGUACCCGAAGAAAAAGCAUCGGCUAACUCCGUGCCAGCAGCCGCGGUAAUACGUAGGGGGCAAGCGUUAUCCGGAAUUACUGGGUGUAAAGGGAGCGUAGGCGGUGAUGUAAGUCUGGAGUGAAAGGCGGGGGCCCAACCCCCGGACUGCUCUGGAAACUAUGUGACUGGAGUGCAGGAGAGGUGAGCGGAAUUCCUAGUGUAGCGGUGAAAUGCGUAGAUAUUAGGAGGAACACCAGUGGCGAAGGCGGCCUGCUGGACAGAAACUGACGUUGAGGCUCGAAAGCGUGGGGAGCAAACAGGAUUAGAUCCCCCCGUA
rnacentral:rRNA from 1 species